rnacentral:lncRNA from 1 species
CACUGUGUAUUUUGAAUAACAAGUUGAUGACAUAAAUACAGUGAGGAAUAAAACUAAAAGUGCGAUGAGUGCACACUUGACAUUGUUUUCUCGUGCAAUUUGUCUUUGUUGUUAUUCUAUCAUCAUGAUCAAAGUUCCAUUCUUUGAGGGUGGAGAUGCUGUUGCGUAGCAAUCCAUAUAAUUGUCGCAGUAGUUGUUCCACCUGCCACAUGACUGCAAUAAUAGUACUUUGGCCAAGCAAAAACUCAAAAUGUUUUAGGAUCAUUGGGUGGUUUGAUUGAUUUUGAGGUCUCUUUACAACUAGUGGGCUCUCUAGGUGAAUUAUCGGUCUCUUUAGAGAUAUAGGAUAGCAAAAAUGGUUGUAUUUUGCAGGAACGUUAAUUCUCAAGAAGGAAAAUGUUGGCCCUAUAAAAUAUAAAGUGUUUUUUUCAUAAGAAAAUGGCAAACUUACAGUUAACCAUUAGCUUUCCCUUAUAUAACAGAGACUGAAAAGAAAAUUUACUAAGCUCACAAGGAAAACUUCACAAAUAAAAAAGACUAGUUGGGCAUUUCACCAAACACAUGAGGUGCAAGAUCGUAAUACAAAGAAAGCCAUGAACGCUUGAAGCCUAGAGAGAGAAGGGGGAGGUGGGCAACCAAGAAGGAGACAGAGAAAGACCGCGUGAAUAGAGAGAGGGUGGGAAACCUAGAGAGAGAAUGAGAACGAGAUGGUAUGAGGUGGAGAGUGGGGAACGCAGAGAGAGAGAGAGAGAUCGUGUGAAGGGGUAGAGAGGGAAUCCUAGAGAGACCAAAACAGGACAGGAGAGAUAGGAGGUAGGAGGAACAGAGAGGGCAAACAUAGAGAGACCAUAAAACCAAGAGAGAGAGAUGGGAAAAUGAGAGAGAAAGAGACUGUGUGAAAGGCGAGAGUGUGGGAAACCAAAUAGAAAGAAACUAUGAAGGGGUAGAGAACUGGAAACGUAAAGAGAGGGUGUUACAGAGAAAACUAAAGGUAAUUAUAAAGAGAAAGCUAGAGAGAGCAAUUGCAAAGGAGAACCUAGAGAGAGAACCCCUGGCAAAAGGCGCAUAUUUUCACUGUCGGAGUGUAUUCUUAGAAACUGUAAAACCAAAGAGAGACCGUGUGAAAUGAGAAAGAAAUGGAAACCCAGAGAGAGACCGUAAAGCCUAGAAAGUGGGCGCUAGAGAGGUAAAAUGCAGAGGCGAACAAAGAGAGAGACCGUAAAGCCUAGAAAGUCGGCGCUAGAGAGAAACUGCAAAGAGGAGAACCUAGAGAGAGAAACAGACCCGUGAUAGAAAGUGGGAGAGAGGAAUGACACUUGCCUGAUUUGAUUGGGAGACACUGAGAGAUAACGGCCUUUGUAACUUCUGCGACAGUGGUAGGGUUUGUUUGGAGUUGAGAGUUUCACGAAGAAAAGAAGAGAGCGGACAGAUUUUUUUUUGGAAAAAUCACUAAGAAACACCUUAAAAUUAACUAUCUC